rnacentral:rRNA from 1 species
AGAGUUUGAUCAUGGCUCAGGAUGAACGCUGGCGGUGUGCCUAAUACAUGCAAGUCGAACGGUGCUCUUUCGGGAGCAUAGUGGCGGACGGGUGAGUAACACGUUGGUACCUACCCCUAAGUGGGGAAUAACUGCCCGAAAGGGUGGCUAAUACCGCAUAAUCCCGCAAGGGUAAAGCAGUAAUGCGCUUAGGGAGGGGCCUGCGUCUGAUUAGCUAGUUGGUGAGGUAAUUGCUCACCAAGGCGACGAUCAGUAGCUGGAUCGAGAGGUUGACCAGCCACACUGGGACUGAGAUACGGCCCAGACUCCUACGGGAGGCAGCAGUAAGGAAUCUUCCACAAUGGACGAAAGUCUGAUGGAGCAACACCGCGUGCAGGAUGACGGCCUUCGGGUUGUAAACUGCUUUUAUAUGGGAAGAUUAUGACGGUACCAUAUGAAUAAGGACCGGCUAACUACGUGCCAGCAGCCGCGGUAAUACGUAGGGUCCAAGCGUUAUCCGGAAUCACUGGGCGUAAAGCGUGCGUAGGUGGCGUGUUAAGUGUGAUGUUAAAUCGUGUGGCUCAACCAUAUCGAUGUGUCGCAUACUGGCAUGCUAGAGGGAAGCAGAGGCAAGUGGAAUUUGUAGUGUAGCAGUGAAAUGCGUAGAUAUUACAAGGAACACCAAUGGCGAAGGCAGCUUGCUGGGCUUCUUCUGACACUGAGGUACGAAAGCGUGGGGAGCGAACAGGAUUAGAUACCCUAGUAGUCC